AAGUCGUAACAAGGUUUCCGUAGGUGAACCUGCGGAAGGAUCAUUAACACUAUAUGUGAGUCACGCACUCAUCAUAUAUAUCAACAAACUCGCGCUCCCUUUUUUCCCACACCAUAAACCCUUUUAACUGUUUAUUCAGUUAAUAGUAUUAUAUUUCUAAUACACUUGUUUGACUACAGUCGUUCAUGCAUACGUUACCCUCGUGGUGCGGAUGUGUGUAAUUGUUUGUCAUGAUAUAUGUGAAUUCAUGCUAAGUGGUUAAUUCCUCUUACAUGGUUACGCACACAAGUGUUAGCAAUGGAUAUCUAGGCUCUC
rnacentral:misc_RNA from 1 species